rnacentral:lncRNA from 1 species
UUUCUUCCCAGUAGCUCGUACACUCUUUGAAAAUCGAUCUAUUUGAAGAAAAACAGCUGUUUUUCUCGAGCUGGGUGUGGGGUGGUGGAGGGUGAGAGAAAGGAAGACCUUUUGUAUAAAAAAAGACUGAAUGCCGCCACUGAAAACUAGAUUAAAACUGGAAAACAAGUCCUUAGCCGGUUCAAGCCAAACACCUACGUUGAGUCGGUGGUAUUUUCUGUGGCGGUUGGGAUGGCUGGUUUUGCCUUUUGUUUUGAUUUGACUUGUGUUUUUGCCUUUUGUUUCUUAAUGACGAUCACACCAUUGGUAAAUCCAGAGCACUAAACAGCCCUCAGCGAAGCCGCCUUUAUGCCAGCCAAACCCUGGAAAGUUUGCAGUCGUGGAAGGAGCAGAAAUACCACGAGUGUAACUUACAAAGAAGGUCUUGGCUGGAGACCGGAGCCAUGUCUGUGUUAUCCCCACUGUAGACAAUCCUUGCUUCCUCUGGACAUCUGGAGCAGGCCCAAUUUGACUGACAGCCUUCCCCACUAAGGUAGGUAAGAGCCCUCUCCCCAAGUUCAGAGAACUAUUGUCGGGCUUUGACCUGCAGCCUUCGAAGGGCGGCUUGGGAUCCCCAAACCCGCUGGGCUGGUUCUGCAGCCCCUCCCCCACGCUGAUGUGGCGGUUGUGUGUGUGAAAUGGGCGGCCUACUGGGUCCAUCCAGCCCCGCCUGUCAGCUUCUGCUGUCGGGCGUUUAGGGCGGGCGAUUCUCAUGCCGAAUUUAGCAGCUUACUAGAGCAAGGACUACCAAGUAUUUCCCAGUGGUGUGGUUUAUGGUGGCAUGGGAGGGCCCUGGAAACUUCUGAAGACAGUGACUGCUGCCAGGUUUGCCAGUGGUGCUUCAGACCUUCUUCCUGAACCCCAUUAGGGGGACCAGCUGAGCCCCCUUCUGAUGUCUGCCUUGCUGGAUAGACAAAGAAGCAAAAGUGUGAAGUGGUAGCCAGCUUCCCGAGAGAAAAGAUUUCCUUGGCUUCUCC